UACGUAGGGGGCAAGCGUUGUCCGGAUUUAUUGGGCGUAAAGAGCUCGUAGGCGGUUUGUCGCGUCUGCCGUGAAAGUCCGGGGCUCAACUCCGGAUCUGCGGUGGGUACGGGCAGACUAGAGUGAUGUAGGGGAGACUGGAAUUCCUGGUGUAGCGGUGAAAUGCGCAGAUAUCAGGAGGAACACCGAUGGCGAAGGCAGGUCUCUGGGCAUUAACUGACGCUGAGGAGCGAAAGCCAGGGGAGCGAACGGG
rnacentral:rRNA from 1 species